UCUUAAGUGAGGUUCCAUUUAUUUUAUAGUUUUGUGUUAAUUAGUUAUAUCCUGUUUUGGGUUUUAUGGUUUUUUUCCCCCUUGUCCAAGAUGAUUUUCCCUUUUGCAAGCAACCAAUCCUAAGAUGCUCUGCACGGCCCUUGGCUGCUGUGCCAGCUUCCAGCAUUUGUUAUCUUAGUGCAGAACCUGCCUUUCCCAGUGCUGGAGUUCCCAACAAUUCUCUUGCAAUCCUCACCCUGCAGGUUCUGGGGGCAAUCCGGGCUGAACUGCCCAGCAGGGGCACCCCACAGCAGCUGGCUCAACUCAGGAAACUCCGUGGGAUCUCAAUGUUAGAUGAUGCCUGUGUGGAAAAGGAGGAGAAGCUCACUGGCAAAGCAGAUUUUACAAAUCAUUUAAGGAGAAAAUGAGAAGACAGUAACAAAAGUUGCAGGACUGAGAUCUUCAGGAGGCUGUCUGUUUUUUCAAUGACCAACCAAAUGAGACCUCAGCCAUUGCCACAGCACAAAUUCUACCAAUUGCA
rnacentral:lncRNA from 12 species